GUUGUUCGUAAUUAUUGGGCGUAAAGGGCGCGUAGGCGGUCUGAUAAGUCUUGUGUGAAAUCUCUGGGCUCAACCCAGAGUCUGCAUAGGAAACUGUCGGGCUUGAGUAUGGGAGAGGUGCGUGGAAUUUCCGGUGUAGCGGUGAAAUGCGUAGAUAUCAGGAGGAACACCUGUGGCGAAAGCGGCUCACUGGACCAUAACUGACGCUGAUGCACGAAAGCUAGGGGAGCAAACAGG
rnacentral:rRNA from 1 species